rnacentral:rRNA from 1 species
UACGAAGGGGGGCUAGCGUUGCUCGGAUUGACUGGGCGUAAAGGGCGCGUAGGCGGUUUGUACAGUCAGACGUGAAAUUCCUGGGCUCAACCUGGGGGCUGCGUUUGAUACGUGCGAGCUUGAGUUCGGAAGAGGGUCGUGGAAUUCCCAGUGUAGAGGUGAAAUUCGUAGAUAUUGGGAAGAACACCGGUGGCGAAGGCGGCGACCUGGUCCGAUACUGACGCUGAGGCGCGAAAGCGUGGGGAGCAAACAGG